rnacentral:rRNA from 1 species
UAUCUCUGUAGAGUCUGCAUAUCAAUAAGCGGAGGAAAAGAAACUAACUAGGAUUCCCUUAGUAACGGCGAGUGAAGCGGGAAGAGCUCAAAUUUGAAAUCUUCAAGGUUCUACCUUGACGAAUUGUAGUUUAAAGAAGUGUUUUCUGUUGGAGUUUUGGUAAAAGUUCUUUGGAAUAGGACAUCAUAGAGGGUGAGAAUCCCGUAUUUGACCAUUAUUUCCAGCUUUGUGAUACACUUUCAAAGAGUCGGAUUGUUUGGGAAUGCAGCCCAAAAUGGGUGGUAAAUUUCAUCUAAAGCUAAAUAUUGGCGAGAGACCGAUAGCGAACAAGUACCGUGAGGGAAAGAUGAAAAGAACUUUGAAAAGAGAGUUAAACAGUACGUGAAAUUGUCAAAAGGGAAGCGUUUGACACCAGUGUUGUUUUUCUGAAAAUCAAUUAAAGAACUGUUUAUGCUAAGUUGUUUAGACUUUAUCAGCUAACUGUUUAGUUUUGAGCUUUUCUUUAAUGCACUUUUCAGUUAACAAGUCAACAUCAAUUUCUUUUGUUGUAAAAGAGUAUUCGGAAGGUGGCUUUCUUUUCGGAGAAAGUGUUUAUAGCCCUAUACUUCUACAAUCGGAGAGAUUGAGGUCUGCAGCGUAGAUCCUUCGGGGUUAGAUACACUUGUGCUAAGUUGUAGCCUUUCAUAGACAACUUGUUGACUAUGUUUAGUCAUGCGGCUUACUCGCUUGUGCUAUUUUACCUACGCUUAGGAUGUUGAAGAUGUAGCACAUCAU